UACGUAGGUGGCAAGCGUUGUCCGGAAUUAUUGGGCGUAAAGCGCGCGCAGGCGGUCCUUUAAGUCUGAUGUGAAAGCCCACGGCUCAACCGUGGAGGGUCAUUGGAAACUGGGGGACUUGAGUGCAGAAGAGGAAAGCGGAAUUCCACGUGUAGCGGUGAAAUGCGUAGAGAUGUGGAGGAACACCAGUGGCGAAGGCGGCUUUCUGGUCUGUAACUGACGCUGAGGCGCGAAAGCGCGGGGAGCAAACAGG
rnacentral:rRNA from 1 species